rnacentral:rRNA from 1 species
AAUAGAUACCCGGGUAGUCCACGCCGUAAACGAUGAGUGCUAAGUGUUAGAGGGUUUCCGCCCUUUAGUGCUGCAGCAAACGCAUUAAGCACUCCGCCUGGGGAGUACGGUCGCAAGACUGAAACUCAAAGGAAUUGACGGGGGCCCGCACAAGCGGUGGAGCAUGUGGUUUAAUUCGAAGCAACGCGAAGAACCUUACCAGGUCUUGACAUCCUCUGACAACCCUAGAGAUAGGGCUUCCCCUUCGGGGGCAGAGUGACAGGUGGUGCAUGGUUGUCGUCAGCUCGUGUCGUGAGAUGUUGGGUUAAGUCCCGCAACGAGCGCAACCCUUGAUCUUAGUUGCCAGCAUUCAGUUGGGCACUCUAAGGUGACUGCCGGUGACAAACCGGAGGAAGGUGGGGAUGACGUCAAAUCAUCAUGCCCCUUAUGACCUGGGCUACACACGUGCUACAAUGGGCAGAACAAAGGGCAGCGAAGCCGCGAGGCUAAGCCAAUCCCGCAAAUCUGUUCUCAGUUCGGAUCGC